rnacentral:lncRNA from 1 species
AUAUAAUCUCAACCUAUCAAAAUCUAUAUAUUUAUCUAUAUCUAUCCUAUUUAUAUUCUAAUUUAUAUCUGGCAACUAAUAAUAAUAACUCGUUGGGCUUAAGCCACUCCUCUCGUUCAGGCUCUGACAUUCACGCCAGCCGUUCCUUUCGUUUGGGCCUUGACAUUCUCGUUAGCUCGGCCCAAUCACAUGCAUAGCUCUAAAUUUAUCAGAUGAUGUAAGAUCAAUCUCAAACUUUCGAUUGGUUAUUCGCUUUGCUACCAAAUGUAUCGAUCCGAUUAGCUAGCAAUAAUAGCUUAUUAUUAAAUUCAAACUACCGACUUAAAAUAUUUAAAUCAAAUUAUUACUACUAGUGUGUCCGUCUUUUAUAAAUCCACCACACUCUUUUACGUUAUUCGAUGUAGAAUUAUUGAGAUGUCACAUAAACUACACCGAUGUCUUACCAUGAUUGAAGUUGAGCUUUGCUUUUGUAAUUAUUGAUGUCUUGCUAAAGAAUUAGCAUUCUAAUUUUUAGUGGAGAAAAAAACCUUUUUUUGAAAUAAUAAUUAUUAUAUUCAAAAUAUACAUAUAAAUUUUAAUUUAUAUUAAAUUAUAAUUUUAAGUUUAAAUUUAUAAUAUAAAUUUUCUUAAAUUUUAAUUAUAUUUUCAAUAUAUGUUCGAUAUUUGAGUUUAGAUAAUUUUAGAUUUUAAAUUUAAAUUACAAAUUUAAAUAGUAAAUUAAAUUUUUUUAAACCAAAUAAUAAUAAGAAGUUGAUUUUGAUUUCAAAUCCUAAUGUGAACCAGACAAAUUAGAAAAUUCAUCAUUUCGAUUCCUAUUAGGAUUUGGAUUUCUAUUUUUAACCAAACAUGUCUUCCAUUAAAAGCACUCGGCGAUAAGCACGGGACUUUUAUUCAAAAUAAUUUUUUACCGUCUUUUUAUUUUAUCAUGAAGGUAGUAAAUGAUUAAUCACUUUUUACCAUCUUUUUAUUUUAUCAUAUAAUCCUAACGAUCACAUAAAAAUUUUAAUUUUAAUAAAUUACAUAAAAUUUUAACAAUAAAAAAAUCUUAAUAAUUUAUCCAUACAAUUCUAACAAUCGAACAAAAAUUUAAUAAUCUAUAUACAAUCCUAGCAAUUUUAUUUAUUUUUUAUUUUUCAUACAUAAUUCUAACGAAUUACAUAAAAAUUUUAAUAAAUCAUAUAUAAUUUUAAUAAUAAUAAUGUAAAAGAAUCUUAACAAACAAUAUUAAAAAAGGUGAUAAGUGAUUCACCGUUUUUGUAAAAAUUUAAAAAAUCGUAAAUUAUUUACUGCUUUUAUAAAAACGAUAAACGAUUAACGAUUCGCUAACCUUAAGAGAAAAUUUUUUCUUAACUCCUACAUAGUAAAAAAAAUUAUUUAGUCAAACAUUUUUUGAAGUAUGGUCAUCUAAUCAAUUAUAAUUAUAAAAUAUAUUUUUUAUAAGAUUAUUUAGAAAAAAAAAAAAAGGUCCAUAAUCGAUUGUGUUUGGAAACCGAUCAAAACAUAUCCCUCUAUAAAGAGCAGCGUAUUGCAACUUUGCAAGUUAUGCCGCCUUAAAUAAAUUAGGGUACAACGGGAAAAGCCUCGACGGGAGGAGCAUCAUCGUGAACGAGGGCGAGUCCUGCGGCGGCGGCGGCGGCGCCGGCGCCGGCGGUGGAGAUUACGGCUGCGGCGGAGGGGGAGGAGACGGACGCGACGGGGGGGAAUCGCUACGGGAGCAGCGUCGGAGCCUCCGAUGGGGACGGGUGGAGCAUGGUGAGACGCGGAGCAAGAAUUUGCAACCGGACCAGUUGUACUCUAAUUCCUCGCACGCUUCGCUCUUCUCUCUCUCCUCCGCUCCAUCCAUCAAAGAAGGUACGGCCUCAACUCAUCUCCCUCUCCCUCUAAUCUCUCUCUCUCUGUGUUGCGGUGGAGGAGGAGAGGGGUUUAUCUGUGUAUUAAAUUGAAGCAAUUGCGAUUUGCCUGUGAGUCGCUGUAAUAUCCCGGACUCAAUUUAGCAACCCGAUGAAUUACCUCAAUGAGGGUAAGGCUAAAUUGGGGAUGAUGAUGAGCUCUUAAUUGGCCUUCCUGAUCCAAUCUAGCCUCCGUUGAUAUCCAAUUGAGGAUCAGCUGGGAUUGGAGAUGAUGGUAAUACGUUGAGCUGAGGAUUAAGGUAAAGGAAUUGAGAAUAGAGAUAGAGGGGAAGAGAGAGAUAGGUAGAGAGAGUGACCGAGAAGAGUUGGGGAUACAGAGAGAGAUACAGAGAGAAGAGGGAUGGGGAUUAGAAGUAGAGAAGGGAAUUGGGGAAGAGAAAUAGUAGAGAAUAAGAACGAGGGUUUGGAGAAUAACUUUUGGGAGGAGAAAAUAGAUUAAUUCAUUUCCUUCAUGCCCUCUCAUUACAUUCUAUUAGCUAUGUAUAUUCUCUCUACAACUGGUAUUGAUAUUAAAGUAAACUAUCCUAUAAGGGCUAAACAGCAAUAUGUAAACUGGCUGAGAGCAGGCUGGACCGCGAUUCACUCGCAGGCUGGGCCUCCGCUGGGCUUGUUCGGUCCGAAGCUGUCUGGUAAACGGGCAAGCGGGUUACGGGUUCGCCUUCUCCGCACUAUCCAUUGCCGGCGGGUCUUGGGUUCGCGUUUUGCCUCCGAUCCGGAAAUCUGCCGAUCCGACCCGCAAGGCUUCCAUCUUCCCCAACCUUAGAUCCUGUCGGACCUCCUUCUCCCUUCGCGUUCCUCCUAUUUCCCCACCGCCCGUCUACUCGCAGAUCGCCCUCGCCGCCGAUCGCACCAUCGCCGCGGGGCUCAAGCAGGCCUGCGGCGGGUUCCAGAGCGCGGCCGGCGCCUUCGCUUUCUUGAGGGAGACAGUCGCUGGGAAGGCUGCCGCGGCCGCAGCGCCACCCUUCCUCGUCGCCCGCCUGAGUUCCGCCUGAACGCCCUUGCCGCCGGUUCACCCCACUGAGCUCGCUCCUUCACCAUUCUGCUGCUGCCACUUUUAAUUCUCCAUUUUAACUAGUAAAGUUGCUAUUUUUACUAUUCUCCCAUGCUAACUACUGCUACUACUACUUCUACCAUUUAUUCUUCAGGGUUGUUACAGCCGUAGUUUUAGCGCCUUAGAUGCAGAAGCUCCGAGCUGGGCCUGAUUUAUUACAGCCGUCCGUAGUAGUGAGCAUAGAAACAUUAGUUUUAGCUUUGCUGCCGUCGGUCACCGAUGGUCGGUUCUUGGAAAACACGAUAGACAGACAGACGGCACUUUUCCCACUAUUUUGGCCAAAUCGUAGUCACAUCAUGUUGGCAAUUUGCACAAUAUCGGGACCAAAGUAAUUCGUGCAAUAUCGGUUAACUGUGAGUCUGAGCAUUCCUUCGAUGCUAGAAUUGGAGCUAGAGAACUGCAAUCAUACAUGCGUCCUGUAGCUCUGCAGUCUUAUGUCCUUGUAUUCUUUGUUGCUCGGGCCGUCUUCUCUAUUCCUAGCUGUAGUUGAUCAUUGUCUGUGGCAGGAGGAUGAAUUUGGCGGCGGAGUCCCCAACGCCGUCUUCAAGCGGCAGUGACGAUUUCGCUGCGUUCCUUGAUGCAGAGUUGGAAGUGGCUUCUUCCAACUCUUCGUCGGACGGUGAUCUAGCUGACGACGAUGCUGAAAAUGACCUGCAACAGCCGAGGUAUCUUGUUAUGAACCUAUCUCUUAUUUCACAAUCAAAACAAUCUCUUCUCGUACAUAUCAAAGUAUGUUGAGUUGUACCUCUAUAUUAAUCAUAGAUUGCCAGGAUGGCAUCGACUAGCUCUUUCGUUUCACUUAGUUGGGGAAGUUAAUUGUUGAUUCUGACUACGGCAAAAUAUGAAAUUUGUUGCUUGAUUACGAGCUAGUACCGUACAGGGCCAAACGUGCAAGUUUUCUCCAAGCGAUAGCUGAAUCAUUUGUGACGGGAUGAUUUCUUACUGUUUUUACUACAGUUCGACUGCAAAACAGAUUUUAAGGAAUGUUGCAUGAAACAAAGAUUACUUGAGAAUUGCAUUCAUAUGGCUAUCAAUAGAUAAACAGAAUGAAGAUUGGUGGCAACAUAGUCUUCAUGUUGUGACUGUAUGGGUAUGAUAGAAAAUUUGUAUGAUUGGAUUGUCGUAAAACUGCUAUAGAUGUAUGCUGCAGGAGAAAUAAUCCUCUUCUACACAGGCUGUGCUUUCCAUUUCUAAUUAAAUUUUCCUGUUUCUGCAAGUGUUUUUUUUUUUUUUUGGUCUAAUCACUAACACAUGAGAAAACGUAGUUACUGUUUUGAAAUGUAUAUGCAGGACGAAGAAGCUGAAAGUUGAAGAAUUUGAGAGUACAAGGGAGCUGCACGAGAUGACAGAGGUGGCGACAAAUCGAGAAAAAACUGGUAUUGAUGACCAUAAAUAGAAAGAAACAAUUGCUUUUAUGCAGAAUUUUGGGACAUUAAUUUUACAUAUAAGAAGCAGCAUUUCUUCGUUUAUUAAGAACGAAUAUUUGCUUUUUCACAUAUUCUUCUUGUUUAUAGCAACUUAUACGUAUAAUAGAUGGUCGGUUAAACUAUAUAUGUGGCAUAUUCUGUAAUAGGUAUGUCGGAUGAAGCUAUUCCUGAUAUAUGCCCUCCACAUCCUGGAUUUUUUGGAGGAUUGUGCGUGAGAUGUGGGCAGGUAGAAGAUGAUGAUGCAUCAGGAACCGCUUUUGGUUACAUCCAUAAGGUAACCCUCCAAUUGAAUUCACACCUGAAAGAGUACCUUGGAAUUUGGAAACUUCUCAUAGGGUGUACAUAUUAACCAUUUAUAGCUUUACUAACAAUUCUUGCAAAACUAGAUUUUAGAUGCAGUGGAAUUUUGAUGUACUAUAAGCAUUAUCUUUGGUUUUUUUGGCAGGGUUUAAGGCUUGGUAGUAGAGAGAUUGACAGACUACGUGGAGCUGAUCUGAAGAAUUUACUGCGUGAAAAGAAGCUAAUUUUGAUAUUAGACUUGGAUCAUACUCUACUCCAUUCAACCCACAUUGCAGAUGUUUCCGCUGAAGAAGAAUAUCUUAUAAGACAAAUUGAUUCCAAGAACGGUAUUAACCAUCGUUUUAUUUAUGUUUCUACAUGAACGUUUUGCCUGCAACCUCUCUAAAUCUUUGGUACCCAAUAGCUCUCUCACUUAAUAUAUAGUGUCAUAGUGUAGUAUACUAUUUUCGUAAAUAACAUUGUUGCAUUAGUUUUAUUAGCUGGCAUUUAUUUUCUAACUUUUAAUAUCUUACAUGUGAAAAAUUGACAAUUAUCUCUCUCGUGAGAGAUCAAUUUCCGAAGAAACUAUAUGUUUAAUUGGUCUAACUAUGUUCGUUUUUUAAGUGAUUCAUUGAUUUGAAAUGUGCCUCGUGCUUUUGGUUUGCUUCUACGUUCUUUCUUGUGCUUUUGUCAAUUAUCUUCUUGAAUAGCUAAAAGAAUAGUAUAUUUCAUUUUUUGAGAUUUACGGAGACUUCUUUAAUUGGAAUGUUUGACAGAUGAUCCUGCCAGAAGCAUAUUCAGACUUGAUUCCAUCCGUAUGCUGACAAAGUUAAGGCCCUAUGUUCAUACCUUUCUAAAAGAAGCUAGUAAUUUAUUUGAGUUGUACGUAUAUACUAUGGCGGAGAGACCAUAUGCACUUGAAGUAGUAAAGCUUCUUGAUCCUGGGAACGUCUACUUUGGCUCCAAAGUGAUUACCCAAAAUGAUAGUACCCAGCGACAUCUGAAAGGCCUUGAUGUCGUGCUCGGUGCUGACAAUGUUGUGGUGAUUCUCGAUGAUACAGAGCCUGUGAGUAUGAUUGCUGUCUAAAAUUGUUCUAAGUUCUUUUUUGGCUUUUGCAAGUACUCCAUUUGGCCACCCUUUCUUUUGUUCACACUUCAAAACUUGCAUAUGCUAUUCAUGAAAUUAAUCUAAGACAAAAGUAAAAUCCGAAAAGGGUUAUUGUACAUUAUCCUGCAAAACUUGGGCCUUGAUAAGUUUUGAGAGGGUAUUGUACAUGAUCCAAUAGCACUUGCGCUAUUGACUGAUUGAUGACCCUAAUUGUCAGUUGUAAGUUCAAGUGCAAACCAAACCCUGACAUCAUCUGUUUAUACACAAAUUGUCUUGAUUAUCCAGAGCUAAAUAGAAUUAGGACUGCAUGUCUGGUCCAAAUUAUGAAUUGACUCAAAUUUUAGCUAAACUGACUCAAUUUUGCGCUGGUUUAUUGGACGUACUUCACUUCUGGGCCAAUUAACUUAUUAAAUCAUCUGGUUGUUAACAUCAUAUCUUCUCCAGUAAACAUUCAGUAGGAACUGAUUUAUGAACUACUUUUGGCAUCUCCUGAACAAAUUUAAGGGUAAUAAGUCUUAACCUCCUGCUUGAUACUUGACUGCUUUGUAAUAUUUAUGUAUCUUCACAAUUUGUAUUAAAUCCAAAAGGAUUUGAUGUUGUAGGUGUGGCAGGAGCACAGAGAAAACCUGAUCUUGAUGGAAAGAUACCAUUUCUUUGCAUCUAGCCUUCGCCAGUCCGGGAUCAACUGUAAAUCGUUAUCAGAGACUAAGAAGGAUGAAAGAGAGUCUGAUGGUGCGCUUGCAACCGUUUUAAAUGUCCUGAAGCGCAUCCACCGAAUGUUCUUUGAUCCAGUUAGUACCAUAAUCUCUGUUAUAGUUUUAUAUUUCGAUUCAUUCUUUCUAUGGUUAAGGUAAUCUGUCUUGAGAUGCCAUUGCUGCGUCCAACUUUGUAUUGCUUCCUUCACUACAUCGAGCAAGUGGAGCAACCGCCAUUGUUUGUUUGUUUGUUUGUUUGUUUGUUUGUUUUCUCCAGAAACUUUUCUUUGAACUGAAAUAUCUGAUUCUAUUGUUCUUGCUGUUUACCUCUCACAGGUCCUCAGAACAGAUAUUUCCUCCAGAGAUGUAAGACAGGUAAAACAGCAACCACGAGGAAUAUCUUGUAAAUUCUUAGUGUAGCGUCUCGCAAUAUUGUAUCAAGUCCUCCGAUUUGACUUCUUGGAGAGAAACUUUGGUUGGUUUAGACUAAAGCUAGUGCUCGGUGCUUGUCUCAGGACAGCUUUAAUUGACUUACUAAUAAUAGACUUUUUACAUUCUAAAUUUCCUUUAUUUGGAAUAAUACACUUUUAAUUAAUUGUACAUUUCAAAGGGUAUUUCUUUAUUACUACCUGAUUUUCUUAUCUUUUCUUCCCUUUUUUCAUUGUAGAUGAUCAAAAUGGUACGUCAAGAAAUAUUACAGGGGUGCAAACUAGUUUUCAGCCGGGUGUUCCCAUUAAAUUCACGCGUGGAGGACCAGUCGUACUGGAAAAUGGCCGAAGAGUUGGGGGCAAUAUGUUGCACAGAAGUGGACUCGUCGGUCACACAUAUCGUCGCAAAGGAUUCUGGAACAGAAAAGGCCCGCUGGGCUCUGCAAAACGGGAAAUUUCUCAUCAGCCCGCGCUGGAUCGAAGCGGCAAGGUUUUUAUGGCAGAGACAGAACGAAGAAGACUUUCCGGUCAACAGUGUAAAAAAAUGAGCGGCAAUUCAAAGUCUGGCUUCAGAUAUGUUCAGUAGGAAUAGGAAAUUAACCGUCUAAUCAAACUACUUUCAGAAAAAGCCCAUUUGAAGUUUUUGGUGGUAUUGUGUAUUUGUACUUUUGGCUAAUUAGUGUUUCUUGUAUUUGUGGGUGAAAGAUGAUUCCAGUUUAGUGGUAAAUCCAAGAGGAAAAAGCUGUAAUUGUUACUAAUUUUUUUCAUUUGUCAGGCUAUUUUCAGUAAGCUGAUAAACAAGAGUUUUAUGCAGUGUUAUGGACUAAUGCUAGUGCCAUGUAUUGCAGCUUUUUCACAAAGUUGUAUGUAAAGUAUUGUGUAAGUGUAUGUUGAGUUUUUUUUUCUGUGGCAAUUAUAUAUAUACAAUGCCAAUCAAAUACUGUUGUCUUGUAUUAGAGCGCAUGUUAGCAAAAAAAAAAAUCUUUAAUAUUAUUUUAACCUAUAAUUGCUAUGUUGUCCUUAAUUAGGCCUCUUAAAUCUAUAUAUAUAUACGGAUCAUAUUUUCGAUUUGAUUUUGGUUCUGUUUCAGUUAGGUUUGUUGGGUGACUCAAUUUGCUUUGAUUUAUCAAAUUAAUUUUUCGAAUUCGCUAUUGUUUUGUCAAGUGAUUGUUUACUUUGUAAUGUUAAUAUAUACAUAUGCAUUGUAGAGAAUAUUUAAUAUUUCUAGUAGUAAAUGGAAUUGUUUUGUUUUUUUUCACUUUUUCUAAUGAUAGUGCAUCCAAUGUAACAACUUCGUAAAGGAUAAUUUAAGUUAUUUGAACUUUUUAAAAACUAAAUUUUACAAUACUUUGACGUCAUUUGUCUAGUAUUUAAGUGGCUUCCAAUGUAACAAUUUGAAAUGUCCAAUGUAAGGUAAAUUUAGAACAAUUCGAAAUCCAGGUAAAUUUGUCAUAAAAUCAUAAAAUUCGAUAUCUGUAAAAUUCAAAAUAUUCUAGAUCAUAUAUUUAACGAAACCAUUUGUUGAUUUGGAUACCAAGAGGUGAAAGGAAAAAUUCCGGUUUACUUUUUGAAAUUAAAGUCUAGAAACAACUGUACAUACAUAUACUUUUGUUUGGUCCAACUGUAAUGUUGCACCGACCGUCCUUAGAGCAAAUGACAAAGGAUUCGGUGGUUGGUAUCCGAGACCCAAGUUCGAAUUCUAGUUGAUUCAUUUUUCCAGCUAAGUUUAUUUCUAAAUGAAAUAAACGAAGCGGGUAGCGUGCUACCUAUCUCUCAAAAAAAAAAAAAAACUGGAAUGUUGCGGGAAAUUAAUGAAUAGUCUAUUUUCGCGUCCAAAAAAAUCUGAAUUGAUAAUUUAUACGGUAAGCUAGACCUAGGCUAUUUAAACUUCUUAAAUUUUAAAUUUCGCGAUUAUAUAUAUAUACCUAUAUUAUUCUCCCUAAAUUGGGCACAUGAGAACAUUUCCUUCAUUAUUGAGUAUGGGCUCUAUUCCGAACUGGCUCAACUUCUCCACAUAUUUUUUUUAUUUUUGUUUAAAUCGAAGUAAUCAUUGUUGAGUGUGGACUCCUCCGAACCAGCUCAAGUUCUCUAUAUUUUUCUCUUUCUUUGUUGGAACCAAAUCGGAUUUUUCUUUUUUUGCUUGAACCAAACCGAAUCGCACCUCUGCAUUGGGCUGAACUUUUCCUUUUCCACUUCCUUGUGUUGUUAUCUUUCUUCAUCGGCAAGAUUAAUCCCUAGUCCUUCUCCUAUUCAUCACUGUUUCUAUUAUUGUUUUCUCUCCUUCCGUCACCGUCUUUUAUUUUUUCUCUAAUUAUCCAUCCGUCGCAUCGCACGAAUUACUACACUAGCACAACACUAUUUGCUCAAGUAGUCUCAAAAUUAAUAAUUUUUAGUGGCUAAUCAUAUAGAUAUAUAUAUAUAUAUAUAUAUUAGAGAGAGAGAGAGAGAGAGAGAGAGCUAAUCUCCUAUACUAUCUAUAGUACCGGAGCUCCGGUACUAUAGUCUCGUUUUCGAUCUUAGGGUAUUCAAAUCAACGAUCCACACCGUUAAAAUUGAUCUAGAAUAUUUAAAGUUUUUAGAAAUAAAAUUUUAUAUUUUUUCGACAUAGUUUACUUUAUGAUCAAACUAUUUCAAAAUUGUUAAUUUUCAAUGGCUACUAUGGCAAGUUUGGAGUUUAACGGUGUAGAAAAAUCUAAAUUUCUUCAAAUUUUGAUAGAAAUUGCUUUAAACUAUCUAGAUUAAGGUUAACAUUCUUGAUCUUGAAUUUAAAAAUUCUAUGCUUAAAUUUUAAAGAUUAUUCAAUUUUCACCAUCCAUUUUGACAUAAUUUAUUUACUAAAUAAACGAUGUCGAAAAAAACAAAAAUUUUAUUCCUACAAACUUCAUAUACCCUAAAUCAUAUUUAACGGUGUGGAUCGUUAAUUUGAGUACCCUAAAAUCAAAAAUAAGACUAUAGUACUUGAGCUCCGGUACUAUAGAUAUAUAGUAUAGUAGCCUAAUUCUAUAUAUAUAUAUAUAGAGUGAGAGCUAACUGAAGCAUCGAAGACGGAACCUUCCGCUGCUCCAGCUCUGUUUCGAUGUUGCGAUUUUCAAAUCGUCGAUCGGUCUCCGUUAACUUGAUAUAGAGUAUUUUGGAGUACGUAGAAAACUAAUUUUAUUAUUUUUCGAUCAUCAUUUGCCUAGUGAUCAAAUGAAGCUCAGAAAUCAUAAAUUCAAUGCCGUAGUGAGCCUUUGCAAGUUAACGGUGUAGAAAAUAUCCAAAUCACAUGAAAUUUUGAUAGAAAUUUCUUACUAUAUUAAAACAAGGAUCAAUAUCUUUUAUUUAAAAUUUUAAUAUCAUAGUUAUUAAUUUUGUAAGAUUUUUUAUUUUCAGCCUGUUGAUUAUUGAGCCCUUCGUUCACUUAGGCAAUGAUAUCGUAAAACAAUAAAAUUAUUUUUCUAGUACUUCAAAUACUCUAGAUCAAGUUUAACGGAGCGAUCGACGAUUCGAAAGUCACAACAUCGAAAACGAGCUGGAAGCACGGAAGGCUCGUGCUUCGAUAGUAUAGUAACCUGCACUCUAUAUAAUAUAAUACUAUAUAUAUAUAUAUAUAUAUAUAUAUAAAGCAAGACUGCUCCUGAGCCGUUUUCAAUGAUGGAAUUUUCGAAUCGAUGAUCGGCUCCGUUAGACUUGAUCUAGCGUAUUUGAAGUUUCUAAAAAAUAAUUUUUACGAUUUUUCGAUAUCAUUUACCUAGCAAUCAAAAGGAUUCAAAAUCAAUAAUUUUUAACGGCUGAAAAUCAAAAUCCUAUAAAAAGUUGUGAUAUAGUACUAAAAUUUUCGAUCAGAAAUAUUAAUCUUGUUGUAAAUAGUAUAAACAAUUUUGUAUCAAAAUUUUAUCUGAUUUGAAUACAUCUACACCAUUAAACUUGAAAACGGCAGAUAUCAACUAUUAAAAAUUAUUGAUUUUGAAUCAUUUCAAUCACUAGAUAAAUGAUAUCAAAAAAUCACAAAAAUUAUUUUCUAGAAACUUUAAAUACCCUAGAUCAAGUCUAACGGAGCCGAUCGUCGAUUCGAAAAUUUCAUCAUCGAAAACUGCUCAGGAGCACGGAGGCCUCAGUGCUCCUGAGAGCACAACAACCCUGCUAUAUAUAAUAUCUAUGUUCUUAUAUGAAUCCUCAAUAUCAAAUGAUGACGUGGCAAGCUCUCAUUUUUUUAUAUAUUCUUUUCUCAUCUUCUUCACCGUAGACCUCCUCACCUUCCUAACUCUUCUCCUCUUCUUUAACGUCCGCCUCUUUACCUUCCAAUAAUCUCACUUUCUCUCUCUUUAUUAUUGUAAUUAAUUAAUAAUUAAUUUUUUCUUCCCCUUAUGUCUCCAUUAAUCUCUUCGUUCUUCAACUUUUGCUAAACCUCUUUCACCCUCUCCCUCUCCUGUAAAAGUCGUUCACUUUCAUCACUGUUGCAUCGCGUCAAGUCCAUAGAAUCAGCAGAUCUCGUCGUGUAUUUGGUGGGGAUGGCAAUGGUGGUAGAAGACAAAGAUCUUGGAUGCGGCGGCGGCGGUAUCGACGACAGAAACGGAAGAGAGUGUAUGGAUAUAUAAUCAACUUACUACCGAUAGUAUAUAUGGUGAUAAUCAAGUGAUCAGAAAUUUUUUGUAUUUUGCUUUUUCUUUAAUGUUUUUUUUUAAAACUAUCCUAUUUAUUAAUUUUUUUCAAUUUCUUUUAUAGUUAUUUAGAUGUAUGUAAAAUUGUUAAACAAUAAGCUGAUAGAAAAUAUAUUUUUUUAUAGGAUUUGUUUUUAGAAUUAGAUGUUCUUUUGAAGGAUUUGCAUGUAUGUUAUAAAUAAUUGCUUACCCUAAUUUACAAUUUUAUAUAUACACUGAAUAAUUUUAAAAAAUUUACUAUUAUACAAUUAAAAUCUAAUUCAACAAAUACAAUUUAAAUCAUAUUAAAGUUUAUAUAUGAAAAUUUUAUAGCAACUUGAGCUAAUUUUAUUUAAAUUAUUUUUAUUUAAAUUAAUUGAAUUAUUAAUCUGGCUAAUAAUUUUAUUUAAAUUAUUUUGCUCAUUCCUGUAUUUUAUAACGCCUAUUUCGUUCUCUUUUUUUUCUUUCAUCAUGUCCCUUACUAGUAUUUUUAUUUUUAAUUAUAUGUACCAAUUUCAGAUUAUGCAUGAUGAUUACAAUAUAAUAAAAAAAAUUACUUUCGAUAAUAUUUGUCCGCGCACACUAGGUAUAUAUAUAUAAUAUAAUGAUAUAUAUAUAUAUAUAUAUAUAAUAUAUCAUAUAUAUAUAUAUAUUAUAUAGGAUAAUAUAUAUAAAUUUAGAAGCCAUGUUUUAGUGAUAACUGCACAAGAUGCCAGCUUGGCGCAAUUACAUAAGAAGUUCCAAUAUGUCUGAGAUAAUUUUUUUUUUAGAAAAAAGUAGCAUGCGAUCCGCUUACAUUUAUUAAAAUAGUGAACUAAGUUACAUGGUGAGAAAUAGAUCUUCGAAAGGGCCGGAAAAAAAAAAUAUUACUUGCUAUGUUCGCAAUAUUAUCAUACAAUAUAUAGUAUAUAUACACCACAGCACACAGCACAAACAUUUUGAUUAAAUUAUUUAUACUAAUAAUAUAUUAUCAUAAUAUAUGUAAUUUAAACCACAUUUAGAAAGAAAUUCAAAAUUGUUCUUUAGUUUUAAUUCAAUUUAGUUCUUCAAUUUCUAAAUUCACUAUACUAAUUGUAGUAAGAAUUUAUUUCUUAAUUUUUUACUCCUUUCUAUUUCAAAUUUUCAUUUUCUUCUUUUAUGUGAAAAAGUGCUAUUAGCUCUAAACACAUAUAGUGGCUUAAAUUUGGUAAAAAUAGUAAGAUAUUUAAAUAAUUAUAAAAACUAAAAUAUAUUAUGCAAGGUUAUACCCUUAAAAAUCAAAUUAUUAAUUUUAUGACUUUAUAAUUAUAAAUUAUUUACUUACAUUCUAUUAGCAUAUCAUGAUAGUAUUAUUUUAAUUUGAUUCAAUAAUUUUUCUAAUAAAAACUUAAUUUGUACAAAUUAAUAUAUAUUAUAUAAAAGUUAUAACGAAAAGAUAAAAUUAAAAUCCAUGCAUCGCACGGAUUAGUUGCUAGUAUAAAAUAAAUUUAAGAUCACUUGAUCACUAGUAGCUAGACAUAUAAUAUUCUAAAAUUAUAAAAUUAAAAAUUAAAGAUUUUUAAAUAGUCUAUAUAAAAUUUUACCGCAUAAAGCGUUAAUUCAAAUUACCAGUCGUCAGAGACAUCUUCUCCAUGUACCUUCAAAAGUACUGUAACAUAAUUCUAUAUAUAUACACAUACAACGGUACAUUCAUGUUUCCAGUUUUACGGUUUGGUUAAUUUUUUUUAUUUUUGAACUCAAAAUCAAAACAAAUUUUUUUAAAAAAAAUUCAAACUACAAACAACCAAAAAUGGGACCGUGGAUGACGUGGUGGACACGGUCUGCUCAGUAAUUUCUCUUUGCAGAGGCCGAAUUUUCCGGCUAUUUCCAAAAUUACCAUCCACUCGGCUGCUACCCCGUUCCUAUCAUAUUCCCCUGACACUUCAUCAGUUUCCAAACACACACACACCCCAAACACGCCCCCCCCGGCUCCCCUGCUAUAAAAAAAAAAAAAAAAAAAAAAAAAAAAACCAAAANCCUAAUGUCUCUCCUCCUACAUGUUCCGCCUCUCCGCCCCCAUCCCCGCAUUCCUCUCCCUCCUCUCUCCUAGGGUUAGGGUUAGGGUUAGGGUUAGGUGUAGGGUUUCGCUACCUCCCCUCUCCGCCCCCGCAUCCUCUUCUCCCCACCGCCCCCCACCACCACCACCUGCGGCGGCGGCGGCGGCGGCGGCGGCGGCGAUGGCGGCGGCGGAGGCGGCGGCGGCGGCGGCGGCGGAGGAGGAGGAGGCGGAGGAGGAGGACGACGACGACGACGAAGAGGAGGAGGAGGAGGAGGAGGAGGAGGAGGAGGACGCGGCGGAUUGCGACGGCGACGGCGACGGCGACGGCGAGGGCGAGGGCGGGGGAGGGGAGAUCUGCUGCGACCGAUCGCAGGUGGCGCUCGGCCGCGAGGUGAGGGCGCAGGUGGAGGUCCUCGAUCGCUGCCUCUCGUGGCGCUUUGCCGAUCGCGUCGCUGCGAAGCGCGCAACGCACGUCCUCGCCGAGCUUGCCAAGAACGGUGAUCGCCCCCAUCUUUUCUUUCCAUUUCAUGCUCCUUUUUGUUGAUUAAUUUGUGGAUGUGUCUUUUAGGGGAAUCUGAUAAAUUUGUGGUUGUUUAUCUUAGUAGCAUUAGGUUAAAAUGUUCGGGGACACCCUCAAACCUCAAUUUUUUACUAGUUUUUUUAUUUGAUCUGUUUCCUUCUAUUAAAGUCGGGAUCUUGUUGAAUCUCGUGAUGAUUCUUGAAUUUUUAGCUGUUUUGAACAGUUUCUCAACUGAUGGAAUUGCAAGUUUUGUUAGCUGUUAAUGGUUGAUAGUUGAUAGUUGAUGGAGCUGUAAAUUUUAACAAUCCCCCAAUUCAAUUUAGGAGAUUGACGCAGUAGUUUGAAAGUUGAUGGGGAGUCAAUCAGAAAAAAAAAGUGUUCGAGGGUCCAUUUCAAACUAGCCUAUGGCUGAGGGGUUCUCCAUGCAUUUUUACCAUACUAUUAAUUUAAUUUUCUUUUUCUAUACAGAAGAGGUAGUGAAUGUCAUCGUGGAGGGAGGAGCAGUACCGGCGCUGGUGAGGCAUCUGCGAGAGCCGCUGCUGGCACCAAAUGAAGGAGAGGAACGGCCAUUUGAGCAUGAGGUGGAGAAGGGGAGCGCAUUUGCUCUCGGUCUUCUUGCCGUGAAGGUAACUUCUGGAUGUUUUUAACUUGUAUCCAGAAGGAGCCUUUUUUACCCCUUGGAGAGAAGUAUUUUGGUUGCAUGUCUUCCUUUUCAGAAGGAGAGGGUUGGUUAAGGAUGACCCAAAACUGACAUCUAACGAGUGAAAACAAUGCCAUGAUAUUUAUCAGCAGUUGAAUAGGAAAAUUAGGAUUGUGGUAUUGUGUGAGUGCAAUUUAUUAGGCAUGCGGAUGUGAUUGCUGUUCAUUUCAUUCUAUUAUUGCUGUGCGCAGGUAGAUGUAAACCUCUCAUUGGCUUUUAACAUACCAAGUAUGGCUGUCGUGUGGCAAUGCCUACAGUUGAACAAAUAUACACCAGACUGUUGAGCCUCAAAAGAAUCACGCUUUGGUUAAUAACAAACCAUGCACCGUGUGUUUGGAGUUUAUAGUGAUAUUGAGAAUCCUGGGGAAAGUAGGGAGGCAUCCCUCAGAGGCCUACUCCUUAGCUUCAUUAUUCUGCAUGGCUUGACCAUUGACUUGCAUAUCAUAGUCAUCUGGAAUGUAGAGAAAAAUGAUUUACAAAUGAUGAAACGAAUAAAACUUGAGCAAAAAAUUAAGUGGUUCUCAAAUGAGACCCUGCGUAACUAUUAUUUUGCACUGUAGUUCGUUGCUUUAUUGUGCUUGGUGUGAGCAGGGCCAUUAUAUAUCCACUUAUGUUACUUUUAUCUAGCAAUUUUCAGUCAAAAACAAAUUUCCAGUUGUGCUGCCUAUAUAACAUAAUCUCAUGAGAUGUGAUCUUUAUCUUUGUGGGUACGACCAACUCUCGCAUGUUGUUGCCUACUGAAAACUCCUUCCCUUUAUGGCAGCCUGAACAUCAGCAACUUAUAGUUGAUGCUGGUGCUUUGCCUCUACUUGUGGAUCUCCUGAAAAGGCACAGAAAGGGUUCCAACUCUAGAGCAGUCAAUAGUGUUAUCCGGAGGGCAGCUGAUGCAAUAACUAAUCUUGCUCAUGAGAAUAGCAACAUCAAAACAUGUGUCAGGUAUUUCUAAACGCUAGCUAAAUAUUCUAGUUACCUUUUUGAACUGGUGUACAUUUUUAUGAUCUUUUGCUUUACUUAAUUUCAGAAUCGAAGGUGGGAUCCCACCUCUUGUUGAGUUGCUGGAAUCGACAGAUUUGAAGGUACAAAGGGCGGCUGCAGGGGCCUUGCGGACUUUGGCAUUUAAAAAUGAUGAAAACAAGAACCAGGCCAGUACUUUCUCUUAUACAAAUUUUCUAUUAUUUCAUCUGAUAAACAUAGUGAUGAUAAUGGUUUUAUCGUAUUUUGUACUUUACUUUCCAGAUUGUGGGCUGCAGUGCUCUUCCGACAUUGAUUCUCAUGCUUCGAUCGGAAGAUGCUGCUAUUCAUUAUGAGGCGGUGAGGUUCUACAUUAAAUCAUAUUUAGUAAUGUAAUAGUAUAACUAAUCGGAUGAAAUUUAGUAGUUUGAUGAGUUACUGUGUCACAAUUCUAGAAUAUCCACUCUAGUUACGUCGCAUUUUAAAAUACGUAAAUACAUUGAAGUGAUGAUAUUCUGAAUUUUUCUGAAGUUUAGAUUAAAAUGACAUACAUAUAUAUAGAAUCCGGCUACAAUGCUAUCGAUAGCACCAAGCACUUGGUACUACUAAGUUUUCUACCGUUAAAUUUGCCCUUUUGACAAUUUUCAGCCGUUGGAUCAUACUAUCAACCAACCACCCACUCAACCCUAGGGGUAGGGAUGUCAAUGGGUAUGGAUACCCGAAAUUUUAUCCGAAUCCGAACCCGAAUGAAAUGGAUAUAUCCGAUGGAUAUGGAUAUGGAUUUGGAUAUGGAUUUUGAUUGUACCCGACCUGAACCCGAACCCAAAUUUAUUUUGUAUUAUAUAUAAUAUAUAUAUAAAAAUUUGAUGUUAUAUUUGAAUUUGUAUUUUAAAAUUUUAGAUUUAAUAUAAUAUAUUUUGAAAUAUUGAAAAAAGAAAUAAUUGUUUCGGGUUCAAAUUUUCGGGUUCGGGUUCGGGUUUGAGUCUCGGGUUCAGAGUCUGGUUCGGGUUCGGGUUUUUAAAAAUCCGACCCGUUGACAUCUCUACCUAGGGGACUACUAUCAUCUUAACCGCACAUCGCUUCAUCCAAGGGCCGAAAAUUUAAUAGCACCAAUGACUUGGUGCUAUUAAUAGUAUUCUAGCCUAGUUCUAUAUAUAUACAUAUACAUAUACAUAUACAUACGUAUAGAGUAGGGCUAUUGUGCUCCGGCUACUGUGCUAUUAGGAGCAUAGUAGCCCUUAUGCUUCUAAGUUCCUAACCAUCCAUCAAUUUUGAUGGGUGGAUAGGGUGAGAGAGAAAAGAGAAAUUGAGAUACCCGAUUUUUUCCUAAUUUCUCUUCUCUCUCUCAUCCUAACCACCCAUCAAAAUUGAUGGAUAGUUAGGAACUUAGGAGCACAAGGGCUACUGUGCUCCUAAUAGUACAGUAGCCCUACUCCAUAUAUACAUAUAUAUAUGUAUAUGUACAUAUAUAUAUGUAUAUGUACAUAUAUAUAUGUAUAUGUAUAUAUAUACGUAUACACAUACAUAUGUAUGUGUAUACGUAUACACAUACACAUACAUAUGUAUGUGUAUACGUAUACACAUACACAUACAUAUGUAUGUGUAUACGUACACAUAUGUAUAUGUAUAUGUAUACAUAUACGUAGCCCUACUCCAUAUAUACAUAUACAUAUAUAUAUAUAUAUGUAUAUGUUUACAUAUUCGUAUACAUACUUAUACAUAUACAUAUGUAUAUGUAUAUAUAUAUACAUAUACUAUUUGAGUGUACGAAUACAUAUGUAUACAUAUACUAGUUGAGUGUACGUAUGUAUACGUAUACGUAUACAUACGUAUGUAUACGUAUAUAUAUAUAUAUGAGUGUGUGUGUGUGUGUGUGUGUGUUUGUGUGUCUAUAUAUAUAUAUAUAUAUAUAUAUAUAUAUAUAUAAUUGAGCUAAAAUAUUUUAAGAAGUACCAAUUUCUCUUGUUCAUCAAGUGGGCGUAAAAAUGAACGGCUGAAAAUGAAUAUCCUCUAAAAAGCGAUGAUAUGAAUUUUGUAAUCAAGAUCGAGAGUAUAGAUCUUGUUCUAAAUAGUUUAAAAAAUUUUCUAAUCAAAAUUCAAUUGGUUUGGAUAGCNUCAAAUUUAAAUAGUUGUUGUCGACAAUAAUUAUAUAAUUUUUUUUUUAUAUUGAAUAUUUCUGUAUGUUUUUCAAAUUCUGACAAACCCAUAUUAAGUAUCCCUUUUAAACUAAAAGUAUCGAAAUUUUACUUUACCUUUAAUUCAAAAUUUAAAAUUUAAUUUUGAUCCACUUUAAUUAUUUUUUUUAAAAUUAUUAAUUCAAAUUUGAUAUCCAAAAUUAAAUUUAAUUCACGAUUUAAACUCAACUUUUAAUUUUAAUUUUAAAAUUUAUAAACUUAAAUUUAAAUUGUAUAAUUAAAUUUCAACUCUGAAUUUGAGAUAAAAUAAAAAUUUAUAAUCAAAUAAGAUUAAAAUGUAUAUAUAUAUUUGAAAUUAAAUUUACAUUUGAUUGUUGGUUGCAAUCAAUAAAAAGUUAAUGUAACAAGUAAAUUAAGAUAUGAAAUGAUAUAGAAAUAUUUACUAAAAAGGAAAAGGUUAUCCGUUAGAGAAAAAGAGGAAUUAAAAGCUUGUUUCGUUACAUUAUUUAUUUUGCGUAAGAAAAAAGAGGAAUCAAAAUUAUUUUUCCGUCAAAAAAUGGGUUUGUCGACUGACCGAAAUUCAAAGUACAUACUUUUAUAUAUAGUAUAGAUAAUGCAAAGCACUAUAUAUUAUGUAAGUAUUUAACUUCAAAAGGUAAGCAUUUAUUUUUAUGAGCUGUUCAAAACUGGCCGAAAUUAAUGGUUACCAGCUAAAAUAAGUUGGCGGCCAAAACAAGCUAUCUUUGGUUGGAACACGAUCAAAACUUAACGAAAGGAUUGAGUUUCUGCACCAAUUUCGGCUCGGAACAAGCCUGAUAUGGUCCGUUCCAAUAUUUGGCGCCAUUAUGUAAAUCUAUUCAUUGUAAUAUUUUAACACUUAUAAUAAAAUGUGCUGAGAUGCAUUCUUAUCUAUUCUUUGCACUUGCCUUGCAGUUCUGCAUAUAAUUUCUUGUUUUAAAUUUGCCUUUUGUUUUGAGGAAAUUAUUUAUGAUUUUCUACAUCAUUAGAUGUUUCUUUAUUGAUCUGUUAGGUUGGAGUGAUUGGUAAUUUGGUUCAUUCAUCUCCAAAUAUCAAGAAAGAAGUUCUUUCUGCUGGUGCUUUACAACCUGUUAUUGGAUUGCUAAGGUAUCUCAAACAGUCAUAAUCGUAAAGCCAUCACUGUUUUUGUUAUCUAUAACUCUAUAAGCUGUUCAAGACUUGUUACUUUAUCUGACAUUCAAAGCAAUUUAAAUAUAUUUUACUAUUAAUAACAGGAAUUUGAUACUGGUAUGCAGCUGAUGGCAUGUGUUCACUUUUGUUGCUCAUUAAUUGUACUUACAUGCAUAUAAUGGGGUUAUCAUGCAUUGUUUCAGGCAAUUUCCUUUACCAGUGUGAUGAUUUUGGUUGUGUUUGAGUCAGCUAAAAAUCUUAAGUUUCAGGAUAUGUGUAUAAUUGGAUAAGAACGCAGUUAUAUAUUACUUAAAUGCGUUGUCAUUUCACACUGUUCUCUGCUGUCCAUUUGAAAUCAACACUUUUUUCUUAGUUUCCUUGUUAAGAUCUUUCUAUUAGUAUUAUUUAUCUUUCUCUAGUGAAACAUUUGAAGAUGUUUGGUUAAUUAUAUCUAAACAAGGCUUUACUUGUGACGUAUGAAAACAUGGGAUUGCAGCUCCUGUUGUACAGAGAGUCAAAGGGAGGCUGCCUUGUUGCUAGGCCAGUUUGCCUCAGCUGAUUCAGAUUGCAAGGUGUUCUGUUACAUUAAGACUUUGCUUUUACAAAGCUGUCUCGUUCCCAGCUGCCAUUCGUUGAAAUUUAUUUGUUUUUUAUAGGUACACAUAGUACAAAGGGGUGCAGUCCGGCCGCUAAUUGAGAUGCUCCAGUCGCCAGACAUACAACUUAAGGAGAUGUCUGCUUUUGCUCUUGGGAGGCUGGCCCAGGUUUGUGCACUUGUCAUAGACUUCAACAGCAAGAACUCUUGGUGCUUUGAGGAACACCUUAGCUCAGUCGCUAUAUUUGCAGCUAUGUUGCCUCCUUGUUGCUAUAGAUAAUCGUCACUAUCUUAUGAAACCUUUGUUUAUGUUUUAUGUUUAUUCUGUAUUUCUGUAAGUAAAUCAAUCUCUAAUACGCAAAUGUUUGGAGCACUAGAACCUUAACAUAGCUUGAUAAUGCAUCGUUGAUUUAUGAAUAUGAAUGUCUUCCUUUCCAAAUUGGGCUGGAAUGCUUUUAAUAGCACUAAGUCAUUAGUGCUUGCGGGUUUUGGGCCCUUGGAUGAAGGAUUGUGGGGUUAGGAUGAUAGUAAUCCCCCUAGGGUUUAGCGGUGGUUGGUAGAAUAGCAUUAUUCAAGGGGUAGAAAUGGUCAAAGGGGUAGAUCUAAUGGCGAAAAAGUUGAUAGCACCAAGUACUUGGUGCUAGUAGAAACACCCUGGCCGGACUCUCUCUCUCUCUCUCUAUAUAUAUAUAUAUAUAUAUUCUCUCUCUCUCUCUCUCUCUCUAUAUAUAUAUAUAUAUAUAUAUAGAUAUAGAACUGAGCUGGAAUGCUUCUAAAAGCUCAAGUCCUUGGUGCUUGUAAUUUUUAGCCCUUGAAUCUAUACUUUUGGCCAUCGGAUCAAAAGUCAACAAUGGUGGUUACUUGUGGGGCCCACCAUUGUGCAUGAUCCAAUGGCCAAAAAGUUAUAGCACCAACACCUUUGUGCUUCUAAAAUCACCCUAGCCGGACUUCUCUCUCUCUCUCUCUAUAUAUAUAUAUAUCUUGCCUUUAGCACUUUAACAAGGUGAUUAAACCUCAAGAGUUCAUAAUUUCAUGGCCGGUGAGGAUUUUUUUAUUAUAUAUCAUAUUGAAGCGUAAGGAAUGCCUCAUGCUAAUUAAAAAAAUUUGCCGAUUGUAGAAUAGUAUGUUAUAAAUUUUAAUUUACUUUCUGAUCUUUGUUUUGUUUAUGUAAAAAAAGAUGUUCUCUUACGAGAGAGAGAAACAAUGCAUUUAGCUGAUUAAUUGAAUCAUUUAACUUUUCUUGCUAGAAAUUGAGAGGAACUCUUCAUUUUCUUCAGGACAAAUAGCCUAUCCGUGUCUUGCACAUAUUUACUGGGAUUGCACGAUCGUUAUGGGUUCUAGAUCUGGAUCACAUAAGUGGCGAACCGGAAGUACUUGAAUUUCCUAAAUAUAAUUUGUUUAGUUACCUGAAAGAAAUGCGUUCUAUUAGAUAGAAUAAUACAAAAGAGUCAUACUCUUAUGGAAAAAUGUUGAGGCAGUCUUGAUUAGAAGAGUAAAUACCCAAUCCGAUCUUAAUGAAAGGAAAGAACUAUAUGGUAACAAAAGUAAGUUAUUGACUUUUUUAUAUAUGUCGGUCUGUAUAGACGUUCGAAACGAACCAUAUUCUGGAUUAACGUUUCGACUAAUCCUACCCUGCUCGUACCGCGUUCCUAAGGAACCAGCGAACCACGUUUACAUACCCGUAGAAUGCACUACAGCAUAUCCCAUUCUUGGUAACAUUGGUCUUGCAAUUAUAAUAUACUUAAUAUGCAAAAGAGAGGGUUUAAACCUUGUUUCAAAAUUAAGAAGAUUAAAAUUCAGGGUUUAGAAACUUAAAUGUGAUAUAAUGCAUAGCCUUUAUGAUGUCUAUAUGGAAAGUCGCAAGUAUUGUCGCAUAUGCGGAAAGAGGAAACCAAAUCAAUUGAUUGCAUCAUUCUUGUAAUCCUGAUCUAAUAUUUGUCAUAUAUUUAGUAAAACCUAUAUUUGGAUUUUCUGUUCUUUCGUUCGCAACUAGUAUUUUGUUUUAUGUUUCUUAUGGAAUGUGCAAAUUUGCAUGUAAUUAUUAUUGGUUUUUCUAUUUAGGAUGCACACAACCAAGCAGGUAUUGCUUAUAAUGGUGGUCUAGUGCCUUUGCUGAAGCUUCUUGACUCGAAAAAUGGAUCUUUACAGCAUAAUGCUGCAUUUGCUCUUUAUGGGAUUGCCGACAAUGAGGUACAUGUACAUCAAAUGUUUAUGAUUUUUAAUUUGCAUAUGAAAUUUUGCAUUGAUUUUGAGUUCAGAAGACAUUAAUUAACGCGCACUUUUUUCCUAUUGCUUAGCAUUUUGCUCUUAAGUUGGCAGUAAAGUUUAGUAAUUUCCUUGUUGUAGGACAAUGUCUCUGACUUUAUAAAGGUGGGAGGCGUUCAGAAGUUACAAGAUGGCGAAUUCAUUGUUCAGGUAUAUGGACUAUUACAAUUCUACCGACUUGGUGCUGUUUGUUGUUUCUUUUCCCUUUGCUUUUUUCGCUGAAACAUUCUAAGAAUGACAUAAUUCCAAUUGCAGGCAACAAAGGACUGUGUAGCUAAGACACUGAAAAGAUUAGAGGAAAAGAUUCAUGGACGAGUGAGUUUUGUUUGCUGUGGCAUUUUGUUCUUUUAGCUUAUUAUGCAUGUCGAUUAUAACUAUAUAUACACACCAAAUACACACACGUAAGUUCCAUGUUGUUAGUUUUAGUACUUCCUAAUCAAAAUUAACAUAUUUCACCAAUAUAUACAAGAAGUUUGCUAAAAUUUUUCAGAAUAAUCAAAUGUUCAUAAAGUAUCUUCCUGUAAACAUCUUAACUAUCUAGACCGAGAAUAGUUGGUUCGAUGGUUUUCAAGAAAUAUAUCCUCUUAUUUUAAGCGAUUAUCUGAAUUGUGACAAUCUACUCACCGAGUAGUUUCCCAAAUAAAAGAUCAGAAAGUAUAAUUUAUCUCCAGGUAUUUAAGUCAUAUGAAACCACAUGAAUCUUCAACACAAAUGUCCUGAAGAUAAAUUCUCGGUAGAAAUUAUCAAGAUCGAAAUACUUUUAAAGUAUCAAGCUAACACACUCUCUUCUCUAUUUGGGAUCUCUCUCUCUCUCUCUCUCUCUCUUGCACACAAGCGCACGCGCGCGCGCAGACACACAUAUGUACACACUAUUUUAUACUAAACUCAUUUUAUGUUUUAUGUCCUUCUUUUGUAGGUUUUGAAGCACUUGCUGUAUCUCAUGAGAGUAGGUGAAAAGGCUGUUCAACGUCGUGUUGCUUUGGCUCUUGCUCACCUUUGUUCCCCUGAUGAUCAAAAGACAAUAUUUAUUGAUAAUAAUGGUAAUAUAUAGUCAGAUUGUGUAUUUGCAUUCUGUUUUUAUUUUAAGGGAGUUUCUUUGAAUUUUUUCCGUAAGUCUUUGUAAAUUGUAAAUGCAGGGCUUGAGUUGCUUCUUGAUCUUCUGGGUUCUGCAAAUUUAAAACAGCAACAAGAUGGUUCUGCAGCCCUUUACAAGUUGGCUAACAAAGCCAUGUCACUUUCUCCCAUAGAUGCAGCUCCUCCAUCUCCUACACAGCAGGUCUGUAUCUUUCAAAAGAGAACUUUUCAUGCUGAUCGAAAUCAGCAUUCAUGUGCUAAUGUUAUGAAAAAUCAGAUGACUAAGAGUUACUCGUACAAUUGUCUGAAAUCUUAAUUAAUUGGAUGUGAGUUGCUGUUGUUGUUAACUCCCCUGGCUUGGUUUAAAAUUAUUUAUUGAAAUAUUUAAGCUAUUAUUUAUUUAAAUAUUUAAGCUAUAUUAUAUUUUUCUAGUUGCUUUGAGGUUUUAGGGUGCUUGUACUUUCAUAUUUGUAAUUGCCAGGCAGUAAACUAGUUUAGUGCUAGUCGUAACGCUUCAAUUCAGGAUGCAUCCAAAUAAAUUCAAAACUUUGGUGUGAUUUUACCAGCUUUUUUAUGUCAUGAGAAAGAAAAGGGCUGCAGAACUUCAAAAUAUUUUCAUACGUGUCAUGUGUCAAGAUGACCCUUAAUGGUUUUACUGAAUUGGAUUAAUAGAAUUUUGACUUUGUCAAGCAUAAGCAAGUCUAAUUUAGCAUUUGUUUUUGUACUUGUAAGUAUCCUCCUUGCAUAAAUGAAUGCAAAUCUAGUACUGUCAAUUCCAUUUGUCUGCUUUGCUAAUAAAUAGUACUAAGAAGUAGAUUUUUAGCCAAUAACCUUAAAUUGAUCUUGUUGAGUAUGCAGAAUUUUCUAUUAUUCUCAACUUUUAACUAUAGGAAAUUAUAAAUAAUGGAUGUAUAAUGCCAAUGAUCACAAAGAGCCAGUGGAACAAUAAGACCAGUGUUACCUAGAUCGCAACCCCCUCCCCUGAGUCCCGUUCUGGAUCAUUUGUUCAGAUUCAUUAUGCAUUUGCAACCUGACUUACUAAAACUGGCAAACCGAGAAUAGUUAAGAAGAAUUUUGGUUUACUUGAUUUGAUUUUUUAGGUUGUCUAAAAGAAAUUCAAUUUACAAGAAAGCAUAGUAAAUAAGAAGACGGAGUGGACAUGUUGUAAUUAGGAUAGAGAAUGUCUACUCCAACUUUAACGGAAAGAAAUAACUGUAUGGUAAGAAAAGGAAAGUUACUGAUUAUAUAUAUAUAUAUAUAUAUAUAUAUAUAUAUAUAUAUAUAUAUAUAUAUGUUGAUCAGCAUUAACAUUCUCAAGCAAACUCUGACCCAGGUUAGCCAACUGACCAAUUGUAUCCCCUUAGAUUGCAUUCAUGAGAAAAUAUGUAAAAAAUAUUGCAUGCCUUACCAUGUUCCGUUCCAGAUAACAUUAAUCGAUCUUGACUAUGGUUAUUUUGGCUAGGUAUCGUAGCUUAGAAAAAUUAAAGUUUAUCUUGAUUCUUAAUGCAGUGAUCAAAUUACAUGGUCAAAUAAUAAACUAAUUUUGGCAAGUACAUGUCCCAUUGUGGGAUUUGGAGUUCUGACCUUGGAGAUGUUUACCAGUUUGCAAUAACUUAUUACGACCAAACAUGAUGAACAAUACAGCUCUAAUCAAGGAUGUAGGAGACAUUUAAUUCAGCAAUGUGUUAAAAUGCAGAAAGUGGCAUGUGAACUGCCAAGGUGCUGCCAAGGUACUACAUAGAGCAUAUGUGCAAUGCGAGUGCAUUUGCGGUUCCCUAUGCAGUCUACAUAAGGUGCAAAAUAUAUAUUUGAAUGUAGUCAGUACAAAAAAUAUGUAAUAAAUAAGAGAAAAAGGCCGAACAAUGACGACAAAAACUUAAGAAACAUAUAUGUUGUAGGGUUACAACAACCCUAAAAAUCAUGUCAAAUUUCAUCCACCUUAUAUAAAAAGUGUUCCUGGUACGAAACAUGACUACUAAUAUCAAUGUAGGGAGAUUCAUAUACCAAAUUAAUAGUGUAUGACUAGAUACGAUACAGACACACACACACACAUAGUUAAAAUGCAAAAUUGUAGUUUGUUUGUGUACUUGUUACAUGAUGCCCAAGCCAUAUGUUGAUGUGGUCUAUGCGGUGCAUAUAAGAAUCUAUGCACUGAUUUUUAGAACAGUGAAUUUUAUUAGGAAUCAUGGUUUUAUAAUUUUGCUGUACAUACAAUUGGAAUAUAGAUAGAGGAUGGAUUAUAUGCAAAUGCACGAGUAUUCUUAGGGAAAUUUGGACAGUUUCUAUUUUCUUUUCAUGGUAGUAACACUCCUGCUUUCUCCGGCAGGGCAACAUUUCGACUGCUCUUUUCUUACUCUUUUUUUCUUUUCUUUUUUGGCUUUGCAAGUGAUUUUGAUUUGUGGUCGCUCCUUUUUUCAUGUUUGUACGUACUAAUUGAUCAUCUAACAUUGCAGGUGUAUCUUGGUGAACAAUUUGUUAACAGUACUACACUUUCGGAUGUCACCUUUCUAGUAGAAGGUUGUUGAGUGCUCCACUGUUUCUAUUCCCUCUUUUCUAGUUACAUAUGUUGUUCGGCUCUCAUAUUCUAGAAUAAUAAUCUGUGGGUGAGGUUGCUAAUCGUGUUAAAUAUUUAAUGACUUUAUUGUUUUUCUCCAUUUCAGGCAAGCGGUUUUAUGCUCACAGAAUAGCUUUGCUUGCAUCUUCAGAAACAUUUCGUGCAAUGUUUGAUGGUGGAUAUAGGGUAAGAUAACUUUUUUUUUAACCAUGGUUUUGUAAUCGAUGGUAGGUCUUAACUCUUGCUUGCAGUUUUAUGUUAUCAGAAAUAUUUAUUUCCAUAAGGCACUUACAGCAAAUUAGUAAGUCUGAAUGAGUCUAGUUAGUAAUUAGCUAUCAAAUACUGCUAAGCAGCUAAUCCCAAUAAUUGGUUUAGCUAUAUGAAUCACCUUCUCUCAUUUAGCUCUGUUUCAGGCGGUUCUUUUGUCAAAUUAAGUGGUAUCAUGUUUUUCCCUACACAAUGUACUUCAGUGACAAUUUCUUCUUGCCUAUGUGCAAAGCUCCUUUUACUUGAAUAAAAAAUCACUUCUUACUGGUAUGCAAGGCAUCAUCUGAAAUAUGCAAAAAAUUAAGAGCUAUAUCUUUAAAUGAACUAUGGUGGUUGGUGGAUUGCAGUUGAUUUUAUACAUAAAUAUUUUUCGGAAAAAACCUUGAAAUUAAAUUGAUAAUAAUGACUUGCUGCUACUAAACUUUUUUCCCCCUUCUCAUGCUCAUCAACUUGAAUAAUUCUUUUGAUUGGAUUUAGGUGAGAAAAUUCUAUCUCGACAAUUUCUCAUCUUCAACUUUACCCAUCUGAUAGAUUGACCAAAAUUAUUAAAAUUGGGAGUGAUUAGAGACUGUCUCUUUUGGUGGAGGUGAGGUGAAAGCCAGGAUGCUUUCAAACUGAACAUCCAUUUUUGAGGCUUCUAUUUUAAUUCUUCUUGAAAAAGCCACACUUACACAUGCAGAGUCUUUUAUGGAAAUGUUUUUCAACACCUAAACCAGAUUUCAACAGGAUUUAUCAUCUAGAUCCUUUUGUCAAACCUGAAGCUGAUACAGUUUAGUUAAAUUUCUUUUAGUCUAUUUGUAAAAAAUUCUGUUAAAAAAUCCUUCGUAGCAUCCAUGUUUUUGUGGGAUUAUUUCCAGGCCUAUUUACAGUUGAGGACUAAAGGAAUUAACGUGCAACUAGUACUUCCUGUUCAUCUCUUUCACAUCAUUAUUAUAUUGCUAUAGGCUGCGCCCAACUUAGACAUCUGGCUCAUUUUCUUCAUUAAAUAAAGCAAGCUCUGAUCAAUUUUUUUCUUUCCCUUGAAAUUCAUUGUAGGAAAAGGAUGCUAGAGAUAUUGAGAUUCCAAACAUACGAUGGGAGGUGUUUGAAUUGAUGAUGAGGUUAGUAACAAAAGGGUAUCUUUUUGACGUACUUUUUUGGAAAUAUUUCUCAAUGGAUAUUUGUUGUUGGUUUUAAUAAUUGAUGUAUUUGGUCUUUUAUGUAUGCAGAUUCAUAUAUACAGGGUCAGUUGAGGUAACUACUGAUAUUGCUCAGGAACUGCUUAGAGCAGCUGAUCAGUAUCUUCUGGAGGGCCUUAAACGCCUAUGUGAAUAUGCCAUUGCACAGGUGACUGAGGAAUUUGUCACUUACGAUUAUUUUGAGAUAUUUUUGUGUGGCCUUACAAAAUUUUCUAUUUUUAUGCAAUUUUCAAGGAAAAGUCUAUUUACAAUAACAGAUAUAUAUCCCUGCAAAACCUGAAUUUUCAUACAUGAUCUUUGAAAACUCAAGUUUUUACUCACAGACCGUUGUACCUGCAAGAAAUGCCCUCUUUAUGACCUUCUGUAACACAAAAGCUAACUUUUCCUGUGGACUGUAUGACUUCCUAACUCAACAUAUUGUUUUGUUAGAAGAACUGGGCAUUUUUGGAGGUAUAUAUGUAUGUAUAUAGAUCUUUAUGUGCUGUGCGCGCCGCAUGCGCUGUGUUUGUAUGCACUUGUGCGUCUGAUCCAAUUUUGUUUCGUUUAAGAUUGCUAUCAUAUUAGGUUUCACUGUGGGUUAACUAUUUUCUUUUGAAAAGCAGGAUGUAAACCUGGAGAAUAUCUCCGUCAUGUAUGAAUUGUCGGAGGCUUUUAAUGCCAUGUCAUUGAGACAUACAUGCAUCUUGUUCAUCCUGGAGCAGUUCGACAGGAUAUGCACUCAACCUGGGUAUCUUCCUCCCCUGCUAAAUUUCAGAAAGUUCCGAUAAUUUAAUUUUAUUUCUUUUAAGAUGUACCUUGCUCGCAAAUUGCUUAUUACAUCUUUUAUUUGAUGCUUUAUUAUGCAGUUAUUUUCAUUUGAUCCAGCGCAUCAUUCCUGAAAUCCGUAGCUAUUUUGGCAAAGCUCUUCAGCCAAACCAAGGGAAUCCAAAGUAGAUGAAUUCACUUAUACUAACAUCAGCUAACAAAUGCUGCUGCUGAGGGUUGUAUAGUAAGCUUUUUCAGGAUUUUACCAAUUAGUAUCUAAACUUUUCUGUGGCAACACCGAAUUCUUGUGGGUAUUGGGUGAAAAAGUAGCUUGUUACCUGUUACCGGUGUAAUGAUGGUUUCAACUAAUGACAAAAAUUUCAUCAUUUGGAUGCUAAUGUGUUGUAUUUCUGGUGGAUUUUGUUAGAGAAGUUUAUAGCCGCCAAUUUAAUGCUUCGUAAUAAAAAUUUGGUGGGGAUGGUUCCCAAAGUGAGACCGACUCAUCUAUCGUUCACAUGAUGAAUGAGCACGAAUCUUAUGCAAAUGGCAUAUGGGAUGAUCUUAUGUCAAGGACCAUCCCCCGCUAAAUUUUUUUGUUUGUGUCUGGUGGUUAGAGCAUCCCUAGUUCAGGUUGAAGUAGAUUUUGGAUAAAUUGGAGUUUAGGUAAAAAUUAUUUUCUUUACUAUUUGUUUGUAUAUUUAUGAUACACAAAUUUUUCGAGUUCUUUUGUUUGUUUAGCAGAAAGUGAAUGACGUAUAAGUGAAGGUGUAGUGAAGGUGUGGGAGAUGAAUUAAUAUUUAUUUAAUAGUCUCCCUUUUCUUUUUUGUCACUCACUUCGGUUCAAAUUAAUUACGGUAUGUUAGGGAGUUGAGUUUCGACCAAUGAUGAAAUUUUGGUAAACCAAACAAUGAAAGUGGGUAUUUUCGGUUGAAAGUUACUUCUCUCUCUCUCCACUUUUAGUAAAACAAACAUUACAAACAUUUAAACUAGUGAGGUGAUUUAAUGCUCCUUUUAAACUGAUUUUCUAAAAGCUUUUUAAAUACUAGUUAUUUUCUAUUUUUUAAAAUAUUAGUUUUAUAUAUAAUUUGAACCAUGGGAUCUCUCAUAGGAGUGUGAAGACGAAAGAGAUACAAAUGCAUCGUUAUGCUAUUUGAAAAUUUUCACAAUUAUUCUAACCACCCUCUAGGCUCCAUUUCAAUGCACGGUUAUGUUAUUUGGGGUGCUAGUCAAAUAAACUACCUCCGCUAGAAGACUCCUAGUACAUUUAUAAGUCCAUUGAACAUACCAAUUUUGCUCGAAAAACGUAUGGAGAUUGGAGACCCCCUCAAACUUCUAUUCAUCAGAUCCAUCACCAUUUAUCACAUUGAUCAUUCCACUUGUAAUUUACGGAGUAGUUUUCACAACCAAUGUUACGAACUACGCUUUUUAAUUUCUUUCCUGGUCAUCUUAUUUGAUAGAGAAAAUGUUAAUCACACCUAACCAGGAUAUAAGGUACCUUGCUAAAAGUAACACAUAGAGACUAAGAUCGUACUAAAGUUUUAUUGCAGAUAAUUUGUACCCGCACAGAUAAGCAACGCAUUAGGCUCAUAAUAAAAUGCAAAAUUUCUCACAAACUAAAUUUCAUGAACGGUAAAAAAUGAGGUAAAUACAUAACAGGGUUCCAAUAUCGGCAGUGUCCAACAAUUUGGAGCCACUUAACCAAGUAAAGCACUUUAAGAAAUUCAUUAUAUACAAGUAUGAAGGUGAAAAUAAUCACACUGGAAACUCAGGAUACAAUUCUUAUUCCCACAAAUACCAAGUUAUUCCAUUAUUCCACUCCGCCUUUUAUAGGACAAGCAUAUAUGUGGAGACUAUACACAUAAAGGAACAUUGGCCGUUUGAGAAAAAUUUCACACCUGCUAAUUUAAACGGGAUCGGAAAUUUUCACUGUUCACCAUCGCUAACUUUGAUCUCCAUUACUUUCUCAACAGGUUGUCGGCAUAUUGGGCAUUUGUUCGAUUGAAGUGUUAAUGCUCUUGCACAUUCACUGCACAUACACUGGGAAGUGAAAGCAAUUAUCAGCCAAGUGAUAGGUUUUACGAGGACAAAAAGGGGGUUAUAUUCCACAAAAGACCCACAAUCAUCUUCUAUAGCAGUUUCAGUUCGGUUUCCAAACUUUGAAUUUUGAAAUGGAAUUCCUAACCUUUGUAUUUUGCUGCAAUCGUAUCCUUUCUACGGUUAACUUCACUGAAUUGAACAAAAAUAUCCCAUAUUCAUCAUCUAAAAUCCAGGUAAUUUUGCGAUUUUCUGACUACUCAUUAGGAGAGCAUUUUGGUCCAAUUAAGCUCACAAAAUUAAUGAAAAAAUAAACAAUGCAAAGAUUGGACACCUAGUUGUAACAAUUCAAAGGUCGGGUAUUGAUACUGAAAUGUCCUGAAUGAGUAGGGCGGCGAGCCCAUUUACCCAAUAAACAGUAAUAAGUUAAUAACGCUUAUCAAUAUGCAACAUUAGACUCGAUAAAUAUUUCAGUCAACAAAGAUCUUACCAUA